rnacentral:rRNA from 1 species
UAGAAGUUACUUCGGUACAUCGGUGACAGGUGGUGCAUGGUUGUCGUCAGCUCGUGUCGUGAGAUGUUGGGUUAAGUCCCGCAACGAGCGCAACCCCUAUUGUUAGUUGCCAUCAUUCAGUUGGGCACUCUAGCGAGACUGCCGGUAAUAAACCGGAGGAAGUGGGGAUGACGUCAAAUCAUCAUGCCCCUUAUGACCUGGGCUACACACGUGCUACAAUGGUUGGUACAACGAGUUGCGAGUCGGUGACGGCGAGCUAAUCUCUUAAAGCUAAUCUCAGUUCGGAUUGUAGGCUGCAACUCGCCUACAUGAAGUCGGAAUCGCUAGUAAUCGCGGAUCAGCACGCCGCGGUGAAUACGUUCCCGGGCCUU